UACGUAGGGUGCGAGCGUUAAUCGGAAUUACUGGGCGUAAAGCGUGCGCAGGCGGUUUUGUAAGCCAGAUGUGAAAUCCCCGGGCUUAACCUGGGAAUGGCAUUUGGGACUGCAAGGCUUGAGUGCGGCAGAGGAGACUGGAAUUCCUGGUGUAGCAGUGAAAUGCGUAGAUAUCGUGAGGAACACCAGAGGCGAAGGCGGUUACCUGGACAGUUACUGACGCUCAGGCACGAAAGCAUGGGGAGCAAAAGGG
rnacentral:rRNA from 1 species